UCCCCGUCCUUUCUCCUGAAUGCAAAACGCAAUUUUCUACCCCAUCCUUAUUGUCUCAGAAUCGAACAGGGUCAUUUUCAAUUUUCCAUUCUCACAGCAGUCAGGCUUUCCAAUUGCGCAAGGAAGGUGCCCUAAUUGUGUGUUCCACCAUACGUGCAAGUGUGUUGUACGUGUAAUGCAUGUGAUUGCUAAUCAAGUUCAAACUGACUUUAGAGUUUAUCCCCUUUCGGCAUUUAUACUUUUCAUGUCUUUUAAUACUUUUUUUGCUUUUGAUAAUCCCGAAACGCCUUCAGUUUCUUACGUAGAAAAACAUCAACUUGUCGGAGCUAAGGGAAUCGUGGACGAAAUGAUGGCCGCUUCUUUUCUUUUCUCCUUCAACUACAAUUUUGAUUCGACUUUUUCUCUGUUUCUCACAAACUACAUAGGCCCCAGUAGCUCAUUUGAUGAAAAGUCUUUGUUCAUCUUUAACUGAAGCUGACAAAAAUGAAACGAACUUAACUAGCACAGUCCUGGAAGAUAACUCCACGUCUAAAAGUCCGUGCAGAAACAUACAUCUAGGUGGAAUUCUUAACUUGAGAGGGCUGCAAGAAUUCCAAAUGGAAGUGAAACGAUACCCCAAAAAAGGAAACGCUCACAUGGGGGUUUUCUAUCACGUCUACCAGUUGCGUCACCCGACCUUUAACAAAUACUACCGAUACUUAUUUGCAACUGUCAGGUGCUGACAACCAACGGCCAAAUACGGUGACUUUGCUGUGACAAUGCCAGCAACAAUUUGAGCAAAAUCUUCUACACUAGUUUCUACAAAUGAACAACUUUUCCCGGAAGUCGAAUUGGUCAAUGAGCGGGCGAGAUCCAGUAUUUUCGCGUUGCACCUGUGUACCUAUACCGGCAUUAAUUGCCUUAUAGACGUUACGGUGUUUCAUCGUCUUGCAACAUUCUUGUGGGGCAAUCUCAUUUGCAUUGCCUGUACUUUACUUGAAAGUAAAAACGUCAUGUAGCCCACACAGAUUUAAUCAAGAGGGCCACAAAAACAAGAAAACGUGGUGUCAUUUUGUGUUGCGAUGCACGUGUCGUCUUGUCUACCAGUAUUCUUUCUUGUUUAAGAUAUGAUUGUUUUCCUAACUGCAGUAAAAACUAGCAAACGCAUGUCUUAAAAAUGUGCUUUUGAUUGAAUUUAUUCUGUUUCAAUUCUUUGAACUUCAUUCAGAGUUUCUAGGGCUUGUUCUAAUUUCCAACGGUUACCGGGAUCUUUUUCAGUCAUUCCGUCAAUCAUGGCAUAUGCAUAAUGAUUCUCCGGUAAACCUAAUAAGAAAAACAUUUCACCUGCACUUUAAAAACUCGUUAUUCAUUCACAAUUCUUUCUGAUAUGCUUACCCAUCCUGCCAUUGAGGAUCUUUUCACCGUUUUUAAUAUUAGCGGGAGUGAAAACUUCAUUGGGACGCUCUCCAUUGGCAAACGGAUGACCGCCCUCCGUAAGGUAAUUGAAAAAGAGACAUCCCAGUGAAAAGACGUCAAUCGAAACGUCAGCGCGGAUUUUUUCUCUCUCUUCUAUGGUUUUCUCUUCCAUCGAAAUAAAUUCUGGGGAGUAAUAGACUCGUGUGCCUUUCGGUCCACUGGACAUAGAAAAACUUCCGGAGCCUGUGACUCCCCGGCUGAAUCCAAAAUCCGAUAUUUUCAAAAUGAAUGUUGGAGAAAUCAAUACGUUUGCUGGCUUAAUGUCUCGAUGGACAAAACGAUUGGAAUGGAUGUAAUGCAAUCCUCUAGUCAUUUGAAUCAUUCCGUCGAUCUCGGAAGGCAUUUUGUCCUUAUAGUCUCCUUUGACGUAAUCGGAAAGUGUACCGACGCAUAGUUCCAAAAUCAGAUACCUUAUAACGAAAUCAACAAACUGAGUGAACUGUGUUGAAUAAUUGUUACGUUCAUAGAUACUUGAAAUUUUGGUCUUGCUGAACAUCAAGGAGCUUGAGAACGUUAGGAUGGUUCAGAUUUCUCAUGGCGUUCUCUUCCCUUUCAUUAUUAAUUUCGUCUAAGUAAAAAUUUUGAAUCCUCUUAACAGCGACCUUUUCCCCAUUAAAAGUUCCUCUGAAAACACAGGCAGAACAACCCUCGCCCAAAACUUCUUUCUUGUUGUAAUCCAUUUGUCUAUUUUUAGAUGUGGACCCUAUUCAAGAGCCUAAUUGUAAGCAAAAUAACUUUUAUUAUACAUUUUUUAUAUAAAAUUCUCUUUCUUUUUACCUAAAUAUGACUUGUUUUCAGAAGUAUUCAGUCCAUCAGUUACGCACAACCAUUUAAGGCACUAUAGAGUUGGCUAACGUCCGAAGUUGCCAGUUCGAUGAAAUUGUGAAAAAAAAAUUGGACACGAACUAGUAAAGGUUCUUGCAGAGUCAUAGAACCCUGGUUCGUUCACGACAGGGGCAGACAGGGGGGGAAUCGUCUGUCUUUGUGCCUAAUUUCGGAAAUAGCAGUCAGAGCCUCCAGCGGGUGUGUAAUGCACUACAUCGAAUGCACCAAUAAGGAAAUGUCUUUGAAAACUUAAACAGCCAAUUGCAACAGUGAUAAGGAAACGAAUGAAGCAGACGACACUUGAAAAAUUAGAGAAUUUGUUGCAGUUCGAAUUCGAAAACAACCAACACCAGACCAGUGCACCUAAUAUAUUAAAAAAAUAAUAAUAAAAAAAAAAUUAAAAAAAAAUAAACAAUUCGGUAGGUAUUGAAUAAUAACAUACAAUUUAUUUCCUCUAAUUUUUUAUCAUAUAUAUUAUCGUUUUUUUUGUCAACAACUUGCAUGAGAUAGAAUUCCUAACUGCAGUAAAAACUGGCAAACGCAUGUCUUAAAAAUGUGCUUUUGAUUAAAUUUAUUCCGUUUCAAUUCUUUUAGCUUCAUUAAGAGUUUCUAGGGCUUGUUCUAAUUUCCAACGGUUACCGGGAUCUUUAUCAGUCAUUCCGUCAAUCAUGGCAUAAGCAUAAUGAUUCUCUGGUAAACCUAAUAAGAAAAACAUUUCACUUGCGCUUUUAAAACUCGUUAUUCAUUCACAAUUCUUUCUGAUAUGCUUACCCAUCCUGCCAUUGAGGAUCUUUUCACCGUUUAGAAUAUUAGCGGGAGUUUGAACUUCAUUGGGAGGCCCUCCAUUGGCAAACGGAUGACCGCCCAUCGUAAGGUAAUUGAAAAAGAGACAUCCCAGUGAAAAGACGUCGAUCGAGACGUUAACGCGGAUUUGUUCUUUCUCUUUUUUGGUUUUCUCUUCCGUCGAAAGGAAUUCUGGGGAGUAAUAGACUCGUGUGCCUUUCGGUCCACUGGACAUAGAAAAACUUCCGGAGCCUGUGACUCCCCGGCUGAAUCCAAAAUCCGAUAUUUUCAAAACGAAUGUUUGAGAAAUCAAUACGUUUCCUGGUUUUAUGUCUCGAUGGACAAAAAGCUUGGAAUGGAUGUAAUGCAAUCCGCUAGCCAUUUGAAUCAUUCCGUCGAUCUCGGAAGGCAUUUCGCGCUUAUAGUCUCCUUUGACGUAAUCGAAAAGUGUACCGACGCAGAAUUCCAAAAUCAAAUACCUUGCAAUGAGCAGUAACAAAUAGAUUAAACUGCGUUAACUUAUUUUAAUGAACAUUGGUACUUGAAAUUAGUGUCAUUCUCAACUUCAAUGAGUUUGAGAACGUUUUGAUGGUCCAGAAUUUUCAUGGUUUCCUCUUCCUUUCUCUGAGCAGCUUCGUCCAAAUUGUUGCCCACAAUUCUCAAAAUCCUCUUAACAGCAACCUCUUUCCCAAUAAAAGUUCCUUUGAAAACAAGGGCAGAACAACCCUCGCCCAAAACUUCAUUCUGGUUGAAAUUCAUGUGUCUAUUUUUGGAUGUGGACCCUAUUCAAGAGCCUAAUUGUAAGCAAAAUAACUUUUAUUAGACAUUUUUUAUAUAAACUUUUUACCUAAAUAUGACUUGUUUUCAGAAGUAUUCAGUCCAUCAGUUACGCACAACCAUUUAAGGCACUAUAAUAAGUGUUUAACAGAUCAAGAUAUUUAUGAUUCUCCAUUGCUGUUUCAUAUCCAUACCUGCAUACAAUAGAAUCUCUUGAUCUAUCAAUCCUUAAAGACCAAUCCAAAAUUCCCACUUAGUUGCCUUAUUUUAUAUUUUUUCUUUUUCAAAUAAUGAACAUUAAUCGUUUAAUACUUGAAAAUCACGAAAUGGGGUGUCCCUAAAACGCGAAAGCGAAACGCGAAACGAACAGCAACUAAAACGCGAAACGAACAGCAACUAAAACGCGAAACGCCGUGCGAAUCAAGAUGGUUUGUUUCGCGGUUUAGCCGCUGAAUGGUGUUUCAUUCCCAUGCUAAAGUGCGAAACAACGUUGCGAAACAGAAGGCUGCUGGAUGGCUGGCGAAAGCGCGAAAUGUUAAUAUUUCAAUAAAUAAAAAAAGAAAAUUUUAACAGGAAUCGCAGGUAAUUUAAAGUCAAACAUAUUUGCUUUUACCAACGUGUUGAAAGUUAAUUUUGGGCAAGGCUUUUACAUUUCUGACAGAGCCAAACAGUCUCAUGAGUUUUUUCAGGCCAAAUUUAACAUGCUAUGGAACCAUUCAAGGCACUCAGAGGUCAGAGCACUGGAGAACAUCCCAGUUAGCCCACGGCUUUACAUUUUUUGGUUUAAACUCAAUUUAAUUCAAUCAAUUAAUUUCAUUUACUUCAAUCAGAUUCUAAACACAUUGUUAUAUUUAAAAUACUAGUUUUUUAUUCCCCAUCGUGUUUAGUUUCCUAUUAGCCAAUACAAGUUAACAAUUCGUCGCGAAUUUGUUCAAGUAAAUGCCAACAAAUUAAAAAAGGACUGGAAAGAACCAUAGAUUUAAAAAAUGAGUUUUUGUUGGCGUAGAGCUUACAAUGCUUAUCGGGGUUACAUGUUCUCAAAAAAGAAUAGUACAUGGUUCUUAUUUCUCUAAAUGAAAUGCCAAAUCCAAUGGCAUUUUAAAAAAGGAUUUCGCAAAAUCAUUUCGCUAUUUAGGUUGCCUUUUUUGAGUGUUUCGCAGCCCAUUGCCUGGGGGCUGUUUCGCACGGCGUUCCGCGUUUUAGUCGCUGUUCGUUUCGCGUUUCGCUUUCGCGUUUUAGGGAUGCCCGUCUGCAUACUUUAAAUAUUUAAAAAGUUGUGAUAUCUUUAAGGCGCGUUCACACCAGAGGUUUUUCGGCUAGCCGAAAGAUGAAAGAUGAAAACUAUGGCAACCGGUUUUACCAACAUUUAUUUUUUCUUUUUCCCAAAAAAAAAAAAAAAUCUCUACUCUUUCGCCAUCUAGCGGUCGAUCUUGAACUCGGUUUCCCAAGUGAUUUAUUCCCUUUGUGUGACAUUGCACUAUUGCAGUUGCAGUCGAAGUCCUCGCGUUGCUGAGUCCCUCAAACAGCCUGCUGAUUUCUGAGCACAACAUCAAUCUUAAGUGAUUUCGUCGGCCGAAAGCGUCAGACGUUGAAUUCUGAGCACAGCAUCACCAUGGCUCAAAAUUAUUUGGUCGGCCGAAAGCGUCAGACAUUGAAUUCACCAUCUGAUAAGGGUAUGAAGGUGAAUUCCAUCAGUGCUGUACUUAAACAUUCUCUGUCAGUAGUUCCAUGUCCAGACGGGACAGAACAUCUAUGGGAUAGAAUCAUAUGCUACGUUGGACUUGGUUAUUCAGUGAGAAGAAUAACGUGAGAAGAAUAACAACACACAACAUUUCUCAUUAGACUUGCAGUUAGGGAUGACGACUUCAAAGACAAAACAUCUGGAACAAGUUGGAAAGAAUUGCUUCUCGUUCCUUCCAACAACCGGCUUUUCGUAACAACUGUUUCUAUCUCUCGUUUCACCAUGUUGAAUUCAACUUGACCGACAUCAGCAGUACUGCAGGAGCGACGCUUUCACUUUCAGAGCCUCAGGAACGCGAGGACUUCGACUGCAGUAUCACACAAAGAGACAGUGUUACCACGAAAAAAAUCAUGAUCGGGAUCGUUUACUGUUAUAUUAAAGUCUGUUGGAGACAAUGUUGUCAUAACAUGCUGCAAAACUCUCCCUGUAACAAUUUCCCCUCCACUUUCUUUAAUGUAACUUUGCAAUUCUUCUACACAAAGAGAAAUACAGAUGGGAAAUAACAAA
rnacentral:lncRNA from 1 species